UACGUAGGAUGCAAGCGUUGUCCGGAAUUACUGGGCGUAAAGGGCGAGCAGGUGGCACUACAAGUCUGAUGUAAAAUCUCCCGGCUUAACUGGGAGGGGCCAUUGGAAACUGUAGAGCUGGAGUGCAGGAGAGGCUAACGGAAUUCCCGGUGUAGUGGUGAAAUGCGUAGAUAUCGGGAGGAACACCAGUGGCGAAGGCGGUUAGCUGGCCUGUAACUGACACUGGAGGCGCGAAGGCUAGGGGGAGCGAACAGG
rnacentral:rRNA from 1 species